GUUCCUCUCAAUUUCCAUUUCAUACUCCCAUGUAAUAAUGCUAUGUCUUUAGAAAAUUGAGUGAUUUAUGUUUUUAUCAUUACACAGAUGAUGCUGCUGAAUUACAUCAGUGCGAUGAACCCUAAUAAAUCCAAACCCACAACACAAACACAUACUACAUCUGAUCUCACUAAAGAACAAAUCAGUACUGACCCAAUAAAAAUAAGGUUUUUGAUACACCUAUAACUGAUAAUAUCAGUGCAAAAACACGUGCAACCAGAGCCAGCUUACCUACUGAUACUCUUGUCCCUUUUUCUGUUUUAUCAGUUAUCACGCUCUUAUAACACACAGACAUUGAGGACUUCAGCUCAGGGAGACAUCUGAGUGUGCUUUGCACUUCCUUGGGAUUUAACAUCAGAGCAACUAUAGGAUGUGUACAAAUAUGCACACCCAUACACACACAGAUGCACAAAGACUGAUGGCCAUCAGGGUGGGACGGCCCUCUGUGUCUGACAUCAACGCUAAUGAAAACUAUAAGCACCAACAAUUAACAGUGCAGAUAUCAUUGUUCUCACACUUCCUCACACAGUGAGUGAGAAGGACUCUUCAUAUAAAACCCAUUUGAGUUUCUGCCAGUAAGGAGAGUCAUUGCAGUGAACUUAACAGAGGAUCCGAAGAAACCUAAACGCCACCAAAAACAACAGCUGGGUUGAUUAGAGAAAAAGGCUACAUUUGGUCACAGAAAAGCACUGCUGGAUGUGAAGAUUUACGCCGCAGUCGUCAGUGUUUGUGUGAUGGUUGGGCUGUUUGACACCAGAGAGACAGCCAACGUUUACCCAGAACUCCGAGCAGCAGCAGGUGUGUUCAACAAACAGGAAUGUUUCAUUUUACCCUUCUCUACUCUAACUAGACGGCACUGACCUCUUGUUCCUUUCUCUUUCAGAUGCAUGGGAGGGCCAUCUGCCGUGUGGAAGCUAGAACUGUGAGUACGCAUCCAGGCAGCAGAGUUGCUGUUGUGCACAGAUGGAUGAGCUUGAGGAGCAAAUGUUUACUCGCCUCUUGAACAUCUUCAGUGCAC
ensembl:lncRNA